rnacentral:lncRNA from 1 species
CUGUGGGACUGUGUGAUUCAAAAUUCAUUUAUUCCCCUUGCCUCUGUUCUGUUUAGAGUUAGUGGUCAGAAAUGUGCUUGCUAAGCAGAUAAAAUCUGUAACUAAGAGUUCUUAGUUAAAUCAUCCACCCUCUUGUUUGCCCGGAACUUGGAAAAUUCCCGGACUCACUAUCAGUAGAACAACCGUCACCAGACGUGCUGACUAUCAGUACGUGACGGCCGUGACCCUAUGGUCACAAGGUCUUACUGUGUGCCUGCUGACCAUCAGCAUGUAAUAAUGAGUCAUAAACCUUUGUUCCCGUUCCUGCCUGUUAACCCCCGCUUCAGUCUCCUAUAAAAAUAGCUUUGGAUUCUGUGCCUGCUGCCUCUCUCAGCUACCUUGCUUUGGGAGUGCCGUCUGGCCAGACUAAUAAAGGUCUGGUUUUUUUUACCUUCCACUUGUCCGGUGUGUUCCUUCCCGGGUGAUCGCCGCUGUAGCCAGCUCCUCGGAGUAUUUGGUAAGGCCCUCGGUCUUACACACCAUGUACUAAAAUCAAAAUGAAUCAAAGAUCUAAAUGUUAAAACAGAAACAUUAAAUCCAUUGGAAGAUAAAAUAGGUAAAACUCUUGAAGACAUAGGCACAGGAAAGGACUUUGUGAACAGAAUCCCAAUUACACAAGAAAUAACAUCAAGAAACUAUAAACAGGAUAAUAUCAAAUUAAAAAGCUUCUGGACAGGAAAAGAAAUAACCAACAGGUUGAAGAGACAACCUACAGGAUGGCUAAAAAAAAAAAAGUUUUGCCAGCCAUUCCUUGGACAGAGGACUAAUAUCUAGAACAUAUAAAGAACUGAAAAGAAAAAUUAGACCUACCCAAAAUAAAAGACCCAAUCCCCAAAUGAGCAACUAAAGUAGACAUUUCUCAAAAGUACAACUGUUCAAUAAGUACAUGAAAAAAUGUUCAACACCUCUGGCCAUUAGUGAAGUGCAAAUUAAAACAACACUUCGAUUCUAUCUCACCCCAGAAAGACUAUCAAGAAAUCAAAUAACCGGGCCAGGGAUUUAGCUCAGUGGUUCUGCUGCCUGACUCUCGAGCUCAAGGUCCUGAGUUUGAUCCCUGGUACCAAAAAAAAGAAAGAAAAG